AUCCCUCCACGAGGUGGUGUGUUGGCGAACCUGCUCUACGUCGCCGUGUCUUCUUGAGCCUUCAACGAGGAGGACACAAAUCCAUGGCACAUCCAUCAACGAGGGUCCGGUCCAUCUUCUCCUCGUCGUCUCAGACUAUCGACUGGGAUGACUGGUGCUGCAGCCAUCCGAGGCACAACUGAAGAGAAAAUUGUAGUCCGUGUGGAUUGAUGCCAAUUGUAUCGCUUGCCUCAAAGAAAAUGUUCGAUUGUGUCUGGUGUGCCAGGACCUCUGUUUAUCUUGGAUAAAGUAAAGUACUAGGAAAUUGUAAACAUCCGAUUGGGAGAUGGAACCACUCGGUGUGGCCAAAUUCUGGAAGUUGAUGGUGAAAGAGGCUGUUGUGCAGGUCUUUGAAGACACUUCAGGAGUGGACAACAAAUACACCAUUGUGCAAUUCACAGUACAAGGGUGGUGCAGCUGAGGGUGGCAGAAGACCAAUCAUCUGGAACAUCUUUGAACAACGAAGCACGCCCGCCCCGUGUGCGUCUUUCACGACAUGCUCUGGUCCCGGGUUUCUUCCUGUGGUCUUCUAGCGUUAGAAGAAGUCGUGUCCGUCCCGGACAUCUGCAACGUCCUCUCACGCCUUUUUUUGGGGGGACAAACAAAGAUCAGGAAAAGACGGACCGAACCCAUUCGGUGACUUUCGCGGUUGCCCUCACUGAACCGACUUGGAUCUGAACUACGAUUCAGAUCAAGUCUUACCGAAAUUGGAUUUCCUUUUCGUGCCAUAUGUCGCUUAGACUUUACUUUUUCCCCUUUCUGUCCUUUCCUCUAUUUGUUCGAUAGGGUCUUCAAUCUGGACCCAGGCAUGUUAAUUACAUCUCUGUUUGGCUCUGCCUUCUAGCUGUGCUAUACUUUCAACACAAAUCAAGUUCAAUUAGGUGUAUUUCAUAUAUAUCUACAAGCAUAAAAUUUGUCCUAUUUAGUAA